UACGGAGGAUGCAAGCGUUAUCCGGAAUGAUUGGGCGUAAAGCGUCCGCAGGUGGCAAUGUAAGUCUGCUGUCAAAGCGUCUGGCUCAACCAGAUAAAGGCAGUGGAAACUGAACAGCUAGAGUAUGGUAGGGGCAGAGGGAAUUCCUGGUGUAGCGGUGAAAUGCGUAGAGAUCAGGAAGAACAUCGGUGGCGAAAGCACUCUGCUGGGCCGACACUGACACUGAGAGACGAAAGCUAGGGGAGCGAAUGGG
rnacentral:rRNA from 1 species